rnacentral:rRNA from 1 species
UACGAAGGGGGCUAGCGUUGCUCGGAAUUACUGGGCGUAAAGGGCGCGUAGGCGGCCUGCUAAGUCGGACGUGAUAUCCCCCGGCUCAACCGGGGAACUGCGUCCGAUACUGGUGGGCUCGAAUCCGGGAGAGGGAUGUGGAAUUCCAGGUGUAGCGGUGAAAUGCGUAGAUAUCUGGAGGAACACCGGUGGCGAAGGCGGCAUCCUGGACCAAUAUUGACGCUGAGGAGCGAAAGCUAGGGGAGCAAACGGG